GAUGAACGCUAGCGGCAGGCUUAAUACAUGCAAGUCGUGGGGCAGCAUGAGAAGCAAUACUUGAUGGCGACCGGCAAACGGGUGCGGAACACGUACACAACCUUCCGAUAAGUGGGGAAUAGCCCAGAGAAAUUUGGAUUAAUACCCCGUAACAUAUAGAGUAGGCAUCUUCUUUAUAUUAUAGCUUCGGCGCUUAUUGAUGGGUGUGCGUCUGAUUAGGUAGUUGGCGGGGUAACGGCCCACCAAGCCUACGAUCAAUAGCUGAUGUGAGAGCAUGAGCAGCCACACGGGCACUGAGACACGGGCCCGACUCCUACGGGAGGCAGCAGUAAGGAAUAUUGGACAAUGGGCGAAAGCCUGAUCCAGCCAUGCCGCGUGAAGGAUUAAGGUCCCCUGGAUUGUAAACUUCUUUUAUUUGGGACGAAAAAAGGGAAUUCUUUCCCACUUGACGGUACCAAGUGAAUAAGCACCGGCUAACUCCGUGCCAGCCGCCGCCGUAA
rnacentral:rRNA from 1 species